rnacentral:rRNA from 1 species
GAUGAACGCUGGCGGCGUGCCUAAUACAUGCAAGUCGAGCGAACGGACGAGAAGCUUGCUUCUCUGAUGUUAGCGGCGGACGGGUGAGUAACACGUGGAUAACCUACCUAUAAGACUGGGAUAACUUCGGGAAACCGGAGCUAAUACCGGAUAAUAUUUUGAACCGCAUGGUUCAAAAGUAAAAGACGGUCUUGCUGUCACUUAUAGAUGGAUCCGCGCUGCAUUAGCUAGUUGGUAAGGUAACGGCUUACCAAGGCAACGAUGCAUAGCCGACCUGAGAGGGUGAUCGGCCACACUGGAACUGAGACACGGUCCAGACUCCUACGGGAGGCAGCAGUAGGGAAUCUUCCGCAAUGGGCGAAAGCCUGACGGAGCAACGCCGCGUGAGUGAUGAAGGUCUUCGGAUCGUAAAACUCUGUUAUUAGGGAAGAACAUAUGUGUAAGUAACUGUGCACAUCUUGACGGUACCUAAUCAGAAAGCCACGGCUAACUACGUGCCAGCAGCCGCGGUAAUACGUAGGUGGCAAGCGUUAUCCGGAAUUAUUGGGCGUAAAGCGCGCGUAGGCGGUUUUUUAAGUCUGAUGUGAAAGCCCACGGCUCCACCGUGGAGGGUCAUUGGAAACUGGAAAACUUGAGUGCAGAAGAAGAAAGUGGAAUUCCAUGUGUAGCGGUGAAAUGCGCAGAGAUAUGGAGGAACACCAGUGGCGAAGGCGACUUUCUGGUCUGUAACUGACGCUGAUGUGCGAAAGCGUGGGGAUCAAACAGGAUUAGAUACCCUGGUAGUCCACGCCGUAAACGAUGAGUGCUAAGUGUUAGGGGGUUUCCGCCCCUUAGUGCUGCAGCUAACGCAUUAAGCACUCCGCCUGGGGAGUACGACCGCAAGGUUGAAACUCAAAGGAAUUGACGGGGACCCGCACAAGCGGUGGAGCAUGUGGUUUAAUUCGAAGCAACGCGAAGAACCUUACCAAAUCUUGACAUCCUUUGACAACUCUAGAGAUAGAGCCUUCCCCUUCGGGGGACAAAGUGACAGGUGGUGCAUGGUUGUCGUCAGCUCGUGUCGUGAGAUGUUGGGUUAAGUCCCGCAACGAGCGCAACCCUUAAGCUUAGUUGCCAUCAUUAAGUUGGGCACUCUAAGUUGACUGCCGGUGACAAACCGGAGGAAGGUGGGGAUGACGUCAAAUCAUCAUGCCCCUUAUGAUUUGGGCUACACACGUGCUACAAUGGACAAUACAAAGGGCAGCGAAACCGCGAGGUCAAGCAAAUCCCAUAAAGUUGUUCUCAGUUCGGAUUGUAGUCUGCAACUCGACUACAUGAGGCUGGAAUCGCUAGUAAUCGUAGAUCAGCAUGCUACGGUGAAUACGUUCCCGGGUCU